GAAAUGCGAUAAGUAGUGUGAAUUGCAGAAUUCAGUGAAUCAUCGAAUCUUUGAACGCACAUUGCGCCCUUUGGUAUUCCUUAGGGCAUGCCUGUUCGAGCGUCAUCUAAACCUUCAAGCCCUGCUUGGUGUUGGGUGCCUGUCCCGCCUCCGCGCGCGGACUCACCUCAAAUCCAUUGGCGGCCCCCGCGUCGGCCACGAGCGCAGCACAAACGCGAACUCGUGAGCCCGUCCGGGCGGCUCCCAGAAGCUACACCCACCCAGUUUGACCUCGGAUCAGGUAGGGAUACCCGCUGAACUUAAGC
rnacentral:misc_RNA from 1 species